rnacentral:rRNA from 1 species
UACUAUUUGGGGAAUUCUGGAAUAAGAUUAUUGUGAACCCGAAUAAAACUAUUGUGGGGCUUUGCUUGGCCUGUGUCGUUUCUGGUUUUUUUCUUCGUAGGGUGGAGUGGGCACGUCGGGUGAUGGGUAGAAGGGGUCAGGGGUGGGGGGCGUGGUGUUGGGAGGAGGGUGAAGGAGGGCGUCGACCGCGCGGGGGUUGGGGGAGGGUGCCAGCCGCGGGUGGAUCGAUGGAGGGUACCGGUGGCGCGAGGUUGGGGAAGGUUGGUGACCGCUGGGGUCGCCGGUACCACCCUCGGCCGGCGGUGUCCUUAGGACGCUCCGGAGGUGGUGGCCUAGGCCGGAGGUACCGGUAGCCGCGUUGGUGUUCGGCUGCCUAGGCUGAUGCUAGCUGGUGGAGGGCGCGCACCACCGGCCUACCCUCCCGGCUGCUCGAGGUACGGUACGACCCGAGGAGGUCACGGUGGUGAAGGAAGAAGGGGAACCCGGCAUGAUGGAGGGCGAGACGGAGGGGCGUGAAAAGGCCGCUCGGCGGUUAGGAGGUGCGCGCAACGGUCACGGGGCCGGAAAGAAGGGCGUUGCGUAGGGCUGGGAAGACGGGGGCGGGCGGAGUGGGGCGGUGGAGGGCCGCGUGGAGGUGGGGGAACGUCCGGUGCCUAGACACCGGGAGUUAGGAAGGGGCCCCGCCUAGAUUCACUCCGGCUCCCCGUGGCAGCGUAGAGGAAGGGGAAGGGGGCCGUAGCAGCUGGUAGGGGAGCGGAGCUAGAUGUCGCUGUGGCUGUUGGCCGUCAUCCCACGCGACGGGAAGGAGAGGGGAGCUAAAAAACCCCGCGGCUGCUGUGUUGCGCCAUAGGCCGCCAGUCCGAGCCCCCACCUCCGGCGGCGGCUAGGGGACGAACUAGAGAAAGGUGGUUCUUGGCCGCUGGAGGGGAAGCUAGACCAGGGGGCAACUGUUGCGGAGUGGGGGAGGAGAGGCGUGAGAAGAAGAACCUGCCGACGCGUGUCAGUGGUAGAGGUCGCACACCAAAGUGGUCUUCCUCGGGCCCCUCGCGGAGAGAGAGUGGUGGCACUGUAAAAGCUGUGUCCCCGAACGCACAUCAAGCGGACCGCGGCCGUACUCCAAGUGAUCGAGGACGAAUGUCAAAAAAACUAUCCUUUUCCACCAUCGAGGACGAACCUCAAGCGGUACCAUCUACCCAACUACGUCGGGUGAACUUCCUCAGAACACCAAGUGACGCAAGUUGUUUCUUUUUCGUUUUCUCACAUCAGAACACUACGUUGGGUGAACAAAGUAAAAACACACAUAAAACUUCUACCCCACCUCCUUCUAUCACCAAAAACACACAUAAAACUUCUACUCCACGUCACGAUACCCCUGACCUGUACGUCACGCGACCGCGGCCGAACGUAAAGUGCCUGUUUUUACACCUAAAUAAAAAAUUCAGGGAGCAGUGACAUUAAACACACACAAACAUAAUACCUAAUUUGUAUACUAGUAACGUCAAACAAAGGGACA